CUCAACCCGAAAUAUUUUAAAAAUAUAAUUAAAGGGGCCUGAGAGAUAAAACAGCAACAGAGGGUUCGAUAAAUCGUUGCGUUUCUGCACCCCGACCGCACGGUCGCCGCGCGGCGCCCGGCCGGCCCGGCGCCUCUGCGCUGUUUUUAAUUAAAUUUAUCAGAAAACACCAAACGAGCUCAACAUAGCGGCGUUUUUAAUUAACAAUAUAUGUUUUUUUUUUGUUUUCAUAGUAGUAGGUAUAGUAGUUAUAACGCGUUUUAUUCGAUAUGGGUUAUUUCAUGAUUUAUUUAUUUAGAUUUAUUUAUUUGGCUGAGAACCAAACAGGUCCUCAGCAAGCGUGACCAUAAUCAAGGAAUGCCCUACCACGCAGCAGGACACUCCAAGCUGAUCAGGCGCCACUCACGAGGGCGCUACGUCUGCUUAAUGAGAUUUCCAUAUCGCCGUCCGUUAAUAUGAGCAAGAUAAUCAAGAACUUCCCAAGUUUCCAUCGUGAACUGUUGUAAUCUCGUACGCUAGUAUCGGAAGCUAUUUACGUGUUGUGCAAUUAAGGUUUUUGGGAAUAGAAAAAAAAAUUGGAAUUUGAAUAGAACAAAGUUUUAUGUUUUGCUUCCUUAAGUUAUAUUAUCUACUGGAUACAGAAUACUAGCAUAUUUUUGGGCUGCGAUCUCAACCUUUUUUUAUACAACUUAGAAUGGAAAACAAGCUGACGGCCUACCUGAUGAAAAGUGGUAAUCGUCGCCUAUAGACAUGAGCUGUACCAUGGACAUAACAGAGUAUACUGUUUCGCCCACGAUA